UUCCGGCCGCUGGCGUGCAACCGCCGCGGGGCCUCGGGCUCCGCGGUCUCCGGCACCGGGGUUCUUCAGCACCCUCGGGCGGGGGUUAUGGAGCCCGCCCCAAAAGGUCGUUUCCCCUGCAGUUUCCAACAUGGCAGGCAGGUUUUAUAGACAUGGAUAAGAACUCCACACACACAAGUCCUGAGGAUGCCGGGAACAGCAGAAAUGGAGAUAAACACAAACAAAAGAAAAAAGAAAAGCAAAACCAAAAACACCACCGAUCCCGACAUAGAUCAUCAACAUCUUAUUCUUCAGAUGACUGUGUGUUUCCCACUUCAUCAUCAUCUUCUGGAAGCCAGACAGAUUCAAGUACUGAAGAUGCUACCAAGGGAAAAAUAAGAGAAAGAAGAGAGAAAAGGAAUAAAUGAAGAAAAGGAAGGACAAAAAAAUGAAACAUCAAAAAAGAGAAGAAAGAAAAAGGAGGAAACAACCGCAUUAUCACCUUUCAAGGGUCUGAAACCAAGCUGACUUUCUUGAUUUCCGAAACUUAGCCUUUUGGGGCAAGGUGGCCAAACGAGGAUGCAGAGCCCAGCCCUGUGGAACCUACAGAAACAUCGGAGGGCUCAGGAAUGGGAUGUCAUUCACAUCGUGUCUAGACCGCUGAGACCAAGCUUCACAUCCUCCGUAACCACACAGUAAAGAGUUCGGAGAUCACAUUUUAUUUACUGGUCUGCAUCCAAUAUUUGAGAGCCUGAAGUACAAGCCAGUUGUGGCAACGUUAGGAUGUUCAUCGUGUAUUCAAAUAUUUGCCAGGGAAGGAAGAGAUUGAGUCUUUUUCUUGAAUGUUACACCUAAUAAUUUCAUCUAAAAUGCUCAUACCAAAGUCCUACGCAAAGCAGAAGACUUACAGAUGGUAUGAAAAAAGUAAAGGCUUUUCCAUGCACUUCUUAUUUAGCUCUUCUUCCCAAGUUUUAUGUUACAGUUUUUCAGUAAUCUCCCCUUCUUUCAGCAAGUGUCAGUUUUCAUAAUCUCAGUAUUUGUUUUGGAGCAUGAUAUAAUGUUCUUUUACUCUUGUUGCUCUAGAUACUAUGGUUAUGUUUUCAACCAAAAGUUUUCCCUUCUCUAAAAAUGAUCACAUUGUUUUAUAAAAUAAGAAAGGAGAGAGCAGUUCCCCAGAUCAGCCUUUCAUGUUGUCUCUUACGAUUUGAUACAUUGUCAGGCUUUUUGCUCAUUUGGGCUUAUGGAUGACAAUGUAUCCAAUCUAACCACGAAUUUGAAGGUCUGGUUAGAAGUGAAUGAGGGAAGAGAGGGUAGGUUUUUUUGAAUUGGAAGUAAAGGCAGUGUUAUGUUGUUAUUCAGGCAAAAGAACUUAAUCUUGAAUACCGUUCUGUAUUGAAGUUAGAGUUUAAGAUGUUAUUCAUAUUGCUAUACAGUAGUAUUGUUACUGAAUUCAAUUCAUUAAAGAGUUUUUUCUCCAGUAAUAAUAACUCAAAGCAAAAUUAUAAUAGGAUUGUACUUAAAUUAAGCAUCUUUAUCUUUGAUUACAGAGAGAUUUAACACAUGACUAUAUAUCAUCCCUCCCCCUAUAUUGUCUUGGGCUUCUAGUAUUUGUGUAUCAAGAAAGUUAUUUCCUUAUAUUUGAAAUGAUGACAUUUCUGAAAUGUACUAGCAGAGAACACAGAUUUUUUUGUUUAAUUUAUUGAAGAAAUAAAGGCAUUUUAAUUUACGAAA